rnacentral:rRNA from 1 species
GAGACUCUGUGCGCGUGCAUAUCAAUAAGCGGAGGAAAAGAAACUAACAAGGAUUCCCUUAGUAACGGCGAGUGAAGCGGGAAGAGCUCAAAUUCGAAAUCUUCAAGGUUCUACCUUGACGAAUUGUAGUUUAUAGAAGUGUUUUCUGUUAGUAGGAGUGGCAAAAGUUCUUUGGAAUAGGACAUCAUAGAGGGUGAGAAUCCCGUAUUUGGUCAUUCCUUCCUAGCGUUGUGAUACACUUUCAACGAGUCGGAUUGUUUGGGAAUGCAGUCCAAAAUGGGUGGUAAAUUUCAUCUAAAGCUAAAUAUUGGCGAGAGACCGAUAGCGAACAAGUACCGUGAGGGAAAGAUGAAAAGAACUUUGAAAAGAGAGUUAAACAGUACGUGAAAUCGUCAAAAGGGAAGCGUUUGACACCAGUGUUGUUUUUCCGAAAAUCAAUUACGAAUGUUUUGUUUUUGAGGAGUUAUGACUUCAUCGGCUUGCUUCUCUCUUUAUGAAACUUUCUUAAUGCACUUUUCGGUUAACAAGUCAACAUCAAUUUCUUUUGUUGUAAAAGGGUAUGAGGAAGGUGGCUUUCUUUUCGGAGAAAGUGUUUAUAGCCUUGUAGCCUCUACAAUCGGAGAGAUUGAGGUCUGCAGCGUAGAUCCUUCGGGGUUAGAUACAGUUUGUGCUAAGUUAUAGCUUUUCAUAGACAACUUGUUGACUAUGUUAGUCUUGUAGCUUACUCGCUGAUGCUAUUUUACCUACGCUUAGGAUGUUGACAGCAGUAUAGACUGU